rnacentral:lncRNA from 1 species
CAAAAUUGAGAAUGAAAUGUUGACAGUAUAAAUAUGGUUUCUACAGCAGCAACACAUAAGCAUCAAUGUUGUCAUAGUUUGAUAGCAUACAAAAUAAGCACUAGUUUCAUAGUUUGAAUGUUGAGACUCAUUUCACACAUCCAAAGUAAGCACUAGUUGAUGUGAAAUAAUACAUGAAGAACUUAGUAGUUCCCACUUGUUGUGAAAUAAGCCAUGAAGCCCCCCUAAUUUCUUCCUCUCUUCUUGCCAGUUGUGGUACUGCCUUGUGGUACACCACUUCCAGUUGGAGUUGAUGCUCUAGGAGGAGCAAAUGCUCUUGUUGGAGCUGAGGCUCUUGGAGUAGCUGAUGUUGUUGGAGGAGUUGAUGCUGUUGUAGGAGCAAAUGCUCUUGUUGGAGCUGAUGCUCUUGUUGGAG